rnacentral:rRNA from 1 species
GACAGAGGGUGCAAACGUUGUUCGGAUUUACUGGGCGUAAAGCGUGUGUAGGCGGCUUGGCAAGUUGGAUGUGAAAGCCCACGGCUCAACCGUGGAAGCGCAUCCAAAACUGCCUCGCUGGAGUCUCGGAGAGGAAGGUGGAAUGCUUGGUGUAGAGGUGAAAUUCGUAGAUAUCAAGCAGAACACCUGCGGCGAAGGCGGCCUUCUGGACGAUGACUGACGCUGAGACACGAAAGCGUGGGGAGCAAACAGG